rnacentral:rRNA from 1 species
UACGGGGGGUGCGAGCGUUGUCCGGAAUCACUGGGCGUAAAGGGCGCGUAGGUGGCCUGAUAAGGGUGUGGUGAAAGUCCGGGGCUCAACCCCGGAUCUGCCGUGCCGACUGUCAGGCUAGAGUACUGUAGGGGCAGGCGGAAUUCCGGGUGUAGCGGUGGAAUGCGUAGAGAUCCGGAGGAAGACCGGUGGCGAAGGCGGCCUGCUGGGCAGUUACUGACACUGAGGCGCGACAGCGUGGGGAGCAAACAGG